GAGUCUGAAUGGGCGCAUCGGUAGAGUCAUUGGCACACGGGCUGAGUAAUGCAGUGGCGACGCAGCUUUUGCGGCGGAACAUCUGACGGAAACUGGGCCUAUUAGGGGAUAGCCGCUGUCGGGGAAAGAUGUAUCGCCCAAAGAUGGGCCCGCGUCGGAUUAGCUAGUUGGUGGGUAAUGGGUCACCGAGGGCACGAUCAGUAUCUGUGCUGAAAGGAUGAUCGGCGCGUUGGGACUGAGACACGGCCCAAACUUA
rnacentral:rRNA from 1 species